UAUAUUUCAUUCUAUUUUUUUUUGUUUUUUUUUAAAGCACUUUGAAUAACCACUGUGUCUGAUACUGUGCUAUACAAAUCAUUUUUACUUUUACUUUGACUUUCACCACCUUAGCCCUGGUAACCCCUUCACUACCACACUGUUAACCCCUUCACUAGCACCACGUUAGCCCUGUUAACCCCUUCACUAGCACACUGUUAACCCCUUCACUAGCACCACGUUAGCACUGUUAACCCCUUCACUAGCACACUGUUAACCCCUUCACUAGCACCACGUUAGCACUGUUAACCCCUUCAUCAGCACCAUGUUAGCCCUGUUAACCCCUUCACUACCACCUGGUCAGAGGAUCUCAUUACUCAUUCAUUGUGUGUGUGCUUGCGUGUGUGUGUGAGAGAGAGAGAGAGAGAGAGAGAGAGAGAGAGAGAGAGAGAGAGUGUGUGUGUGUGUGUGCGUGUUUGUGUGUAUGCGUGUGCAUGUGCGUGCGUGUUUGUGUGUUGUGUAUGAGUGUGUGUGUGAUGUGUUGUGUUUGUGCAAGUGCGUGCGUGUUACGAACCCCCAUUUAUAUUAAGUUGGUAUUCAUUUUUGGCACCCCCUGCUGGGGCAGGUAUUUCUGUUUCCCCCUUUCUCCCUGUGGUCGCAGGCUAACGACUGAUUCCAGGCACCUGAUACCUCCCUACUUAAGGAGGUCCACCUGCGGUAGUGCGCUCUCUCUCUUCCACCUCCUGAAACCCAAAGGAUCGGGCAACCGGCUCCUGGCUUCGCCACCGUCUUUCGUGGUUUCAUCACUAUCAUCCCCUGCGUUGGGAUCAUGAUUAUCUGGACCAGCCCCACCACGAUGAUGAGGCCCAGAGCGAGGAGCUUCGCCACGGUGAAGACGUCCUGGAUCCGGGUGGCCCAACGAACGCUGGAGCAGUUCACCCAGGAGUCUGCUGGAAGAUCACCCACCCAACCAGGCCGCCGAAGAUCUCGGUGACGUAGGAGUAGUCUCCACCAGACUUGGGGAUGGUGACGCCCAGCUCGGCAUAGCACAUGGAGCCCAGGGCGCAGAUCCCUCCGCCCAGCACCCACACGAUGAGGGACAGGCCCACGGAGCCCGCGUGCUCCAGGACCCCCUUCGGAGAGAUGAAGAUCCCCGAGCCGAUGAUGUUUCCUGGGGAGAGCAAGGAGAAAGGACACGGUUCAGCAUGAACGUGUGUGUGCGUGCGACGCGAGUGUGUGUGUGUGUGUGGGUGUGUGUGUGUGUGUGGGUGUGUGUGUGUGUGUGUGUGUGUGUCUGUGUGUGUGUGUGUGUGUGUGUGUGUGUGUGUGUGUGUGUGUGUGUGUGUGUGUGUGUGUGUGUGUGUGUGUGUGUGUGUGUGGGUUUGUUUGUUUGUUUGUGUGUGA